CACAAGCGGUGGAGCAUGUGGUUAAUUCGACGCAACGCGAAGAACCUUACCAGGGCUUGACAUCCCCUGACCGCGUAUGAAAGUACGUUUUCACCCUCGGGUGACAGGGAGACAGGUGGUGCAUGGUUGUCGUCAGCUCGUGUCGUGAGAUGUUGGGUUAAGUCCCGCAACGAGCGCAACCCCUAUUGUUAGUUGCCAUCAUUCAGUUGGGCACUCUAGCGAGACUGCCGGUAAUAAACCGGAGGAAGGUGGGAUGACGUCAAAUCAUCAUGCCCCUUAUGACCUGGGCUACACACGUGCUACAAUGGUUGGUACAACGAGUUGCGAGUCGGUGACGGCGAGCUAAUCUCUUAAAGCCAAUCUCAGUUCGGAUUGUAGGCUGCAACUCGCCUACAUGAAGUCGGAAUCGCUAGUAAUCGCGGAUCAGCACGCCGCGGUGAAUACGUUCCCGGGCCUU
rnacentral:rRNA from 1 species